AGUGAACGCUGGCGGUAGGCCUAACACAUGCAAGUCGAACGGCAGCACAGUAAGAGCUUGCUCUUACGGGUGGCGAGUGGCGGACGGGUGAGGAAUACAUCGGAAUCUACUUUUUCGUGGGGGAUAACGUAGGGAAACUUACGCUAAUACCGCAUACGACCUACGGGUGAAAGCAGGGGAUCUUCGGACCUUGCGCGAUUGAAUGAGCCGAUGUCGGAUUAGCUAGUUGGCGGGGUAAAGGCCCACCAAGGCGACGAUCCGUAGCUGGUCUGAGAGGAGGGUCGGCGACACGAGAGCUGGAACACGGACCAGGCUCCUGCGAGAGGCAGCAGUGGGGAAUGUUAGACAAUGGUCGCAAACCUGAUCCAGCGAUACCGCGUGGGUGAAGGAAACGUUCGGGUUGUGAAGCCCGUUUGUUGGGAGAGAAAAGCAGCAGGUUAAUACCCCGCGGUACUGACGGUACCCAAAGAAUAAGCACCGGCUAACUUCGUG
rnacentral:rRNA from 1 species